CAAACUUUUAGUGGGAAAGGCUUUAAAAUGCUGCUUUGUUCCAAAGGCCAUUCUGCAAUGAUGAAGGGGGAUGAUUGAAAAGAGCUGGACUAAAUUGGUCUAACUAGGACACUUGAAGGCUUGUGAAUCAGUUCACACGAUCAGUGUGAAAAGCGGGUAUGAAGACCCAGAUGCUGGUGUGUACGUGUGCAUAUAAGCCCCAACAGCUAGAAAUCAAGCCUUUCUGGCUUCCGAUUGUUGGAGAAGUGGAAACAGUUAAUGGAGUAUGCAAUGAGAUUCUGCCAGAAACGGAGUAGAAAAACUGUGGCUCACCCGGGACCCAGUCUUUCCCCAGGUUCCCCACAGAUGAGCUCUGAAUCUGUUAUAAUUGACUCACCACGACCUGCAUGUACACAUGGAAUUCCUCAUGGCAUCCUUAGAUCUUUUUUGCCACAUCCUUUUGCUCUGACUCGAAGAGGAAGCCAACCCAUCUCUUCGCUGGCCUGUGCCACAGAUGCAUUCCAUGUCAAUACCAUCUGUGAUCCCGACGGAAAUGAUAGUUAAAAUUUGUUGCAUCUGUUAUUGAGCCUAUCUUUGUAGUAGGAGUAAUGAAAUUUGGCUUCCAAACUAAUUCAUCUUUAUGCAGAUAGCCCAAACUAACCUGCAAUUAAAACACUGAAAGUAGUCACAACUGGGAGAUACAAAAUAAAUGUGGGAAAAAGUUCUUUUUCAAUAAAGAAGCUUGAUUAGUUUGAGAAACAUCAACUCCAAGGACUAUAAUCUAAGCUGGUAGAAAUUAAAAUUAUGGGAAAAUAGAAUUUUGCCGAUAGACUUGAAACUGUGAAAAUAAGUAGUGUUUGAUAACCUGAAAUAAACUCUUUCUAAAGCACUAUUUUUAUAGUGGAACCAGGGGCAGCUAUUAUUUUGUUAUUAUUUUAAUUGUUUGUGAACAUAUGGGAUAAAGAAAAGGAGCAUGAAUGUGAUUGCAGCUACAGUAUAUCUAGAAGAGUCAAUUAAAUUUAUGUUCUAAAGGAGCAUAAGAAUGAUGAUUCUGUCACUCAGAAUUGAAGAUGUUUAAUGUAUAUUGUAAACUGGUAAUGUUUAAGAUUUUCAGAUAGUGUGUAUAUUGAUUAAACAAGAUAUUGAGAGAUUUCAAAUGGCCAAAAAGUAGAAUUGUCUUUAUGUAUAUCAAAAUAUAUUUUUGAAACUUCUGAAUUUCUCAGUCAUAUAAACAAUAAACAUCUACCUCUAGAAGAAAAUUUAAUCCUAUUUUACUUAGUUGGACAUACUCUUUCAUACACAAGAACACUUUGCUGGUUUUCCAGUGAUCACACAAGUGACUGGUGAUAGUUGGACCACAGCCCCAUUGCUCCACACUUCCUCCGGGCCCCUGUGAGUCCACCCUGUACUCAACAGAGUACAGACAGUUUAACUAGUUAGCCAGAAAAUCCUGGGAAAUCUGUCUCAGUGUAGACUAUUCAAAGCUGGUAUGCAUCAUUGUAAUUUACUAACAGUGAAUAUUGAUUCUGC
rnacentral:lncRNA from 1 species